AGGGGUGUAGCUCAGUUAGGGAGAGCAGCGGUCUCCAAAACCGCAGGUCGGGGGUUCGAGUCCUCCCGCCCCUGCCA
rnacentral:tRNA from 1 species